GCCACGUCUGAGACCUGGAGCAACCACAGCCGCAGUCAUGGUGUCAGUAAUUAACACUGUGGAUACCUCCCAUGAGGACAUGAUUCAUGACGCCCAGAUGGACUACUAUGGCACCCGCCUGGCAACCUGCUCAUCAGACAGGUCUGUCAAAAUCUUCGAUGUGCGCAAUGGAGGGCAGAUCCUCAUCACCGACCUCAGGGGUCAUGAGGGUCCUGUGUGGCAAGUGGCCUGGGCUCACCCCAUGUAUGGCAACAUCCUGGCAUUGUGCUCCUAUGACUGGAAAGUCAUUAUCUGGAGAGAGGAAAAUGGCACCUGCGAGAAGAGCCACGAGCACAUGGGACACGACUCCUCAGUGAACUCAGUGUGCCUGAUCCUGGCCUGUGGGAGCUCAGAUGGGGCCAUCUCCCUGCUGACUUACACCGGGAAAGUCAAUGGGAAGUAAAGAAGAUCAACAACGCUCACACCAUUGGCUGCAAUGCCGUCAGCUGGGCCCCUGCUGUUGUACCUGGAAGCCUCAUAGACCAGCCAUCGGGGCAGAAACCCAAUUACAUCAAGAAGUUUGCAUCAGGUGGCUUUGACAACCUCAUCAAGCUGUGGAAGGAGGAGGAGGAUGGCCAGUGGAAGGAGGAGCAAAAGCUGGAAGCGCACAGUGACUGGGUUUGAGACGUGGCCUGGGCUCCCUCCAUCGGCCUGCCCACCAGCACCAUCACCAGCUGCUCCCAGGAUGGUCGUGUGUUCAUUUGGACCUGUGAUGAUGCCUCAGGCAAUACAUGGUCCCCCAAAUUGCUGCACAAGUUCAAUGAUGUGGUGUGGCAUGUGAGCUGGUCCAUCACAGCCAACAUCCUGGCCGUCUCCGGUGGAGACAAUAAGGUGACCCUGUGGAAAGAGUCGGUUGAUGGGCAGUGGGUGUGCAUCAGUGAUGUCAACAAGGGCCAGGGCUCCGUGUCGGCGUCAGUCACAGAGGGCCAGCAGAAAAAAAAAAGAAAAAGA